AUGAACUGUGAGAUCAUGACCUGAGCUGAAGACAGAGGCUCAACCUACUGAGCCACCCAGGUGCCCCUGGAGACUGAAUUUAAAUGAGACAAAUACUCUGAAGUCCACCACCACUUUUUGAAGAUAAUCCUGUGGACUCGGGUUUUAUUAAACCUUUUUCCAGGAAGCGAUGUGCUAGUGAGCCAAGAAAGUAUAAAACCAUUUAUUAGAAAGGAAGAAGUAUCAGUUAAAAUAUCAGCAAAACAAACGGUCAAGUAUGUCAACUAGUCGGAAUUAAACUUUCUAAGGACACGACAACCAUUUCCACAGUCUUAUUUCUCCAGGUCAGUUUUGAGCAGAGGAAUGGGCAAAUUUACAUAAAAAGCAGAAAACGCAGUAUAUGGGCCAUAGAUACAGGCUCCUGUCUCCUUUGUGCAGAACUAUCAUCUUGUAAAUGGUCUCAAUUCCACAGUAAAAUCACCACUGAAUUCGUUUUGUGACCAAGGAUGAGCUCUGCACGGGCAACCUCUCCCGGUUGCCCUUGCGCGCAGCCUCCUUUCUUCCCUUAACUGUAAGGAUUUUAUUCUGAUCACGAGGCUCCGGAGGACCACCCCUUCGCCUCCGGAGACCAGAGGGCCCUAAAGCCACCGCCGGGCGGAGCGCACGGCUGGGGCGCAGCGCCUGACCUGGGCCGCGGCCACCGAGAGUUGGGCGACACUCUGGCAGGACCAGCCGCUCUGGUGCUUCGUGCUUCUGCGCUUCCCGCCGGUCUCCUCCCCGUUUCGGGCUCUUGCGGGGUCACCGCACGUCCCACCGACAAGCCCGCAGAGGCGAACUGGAGGCCCUCCGACCUCCGGGGGCGCACUGGUCUCCAAAGCUCGAGCUCGGGGAGCGCAGAGAGGACCGCGCUCCCCGGCUGUAUGCAAAUGAAGCGACUUUCCGGGUGUCGUCUGAUUGGAGGAGGCUCAGGACUCGGCAUCGCGCAGCAGCCAGUGUGGCUCCAGGGAUGCAGGGUUCUCAUACUCCAUUGGUGAACACAGCAUCCAGCGGCGGCGCUCUCCGAAUAUAAAAUCCACCGGCCGGCACCCGACUCGGCCUUCCGGACUGCAAGGUGCCGCCGGGGAGAGGGUGUGCAUCAUCCCGCGCUGCCUGCAGCUGGCCACCCGCUGUGACCUGAGCUCCACAAGCUGCUGGGCGGCGGGACCAUCGUGCGGGCGGCGUCCUGCCCAGCAUCCAGGCCGUGCUGCUGCAGCACCGAGCACAUAGCCAGAAACCUACUGUUGUGUUUCUUCGUGUCGAGUCUUUGUCCUUCCUUGUCUUUGUGCAGCUGAAGUCCUACAGGCAAGGCUGGCACAUGAGCUGGUAAUGACCCAGGCCCUUAACGCUUUAUCUCCGGACACAAGGACCCCCGGAAUAUCAGCAGGCAGGCCUCACUGAGCCCCCUCCCCCCCUACAACGCUAACCUCAGGCUCUUGAAUCUGUUCCUCCAGGGCUGCGCACUCUUCUUGGAGCCUAGCCUUCAAUACUCCUAUCUGUCUCCUUAGGAAGGCUGUGUGUUCCUUACACCUUCUAUUAAAUGAAGUCGUAGGCUUUUCUUUUGUGAA